UACGGGGGGGGCAAGCGUUGUUCGGAAUUACUGGGCGUAAAGGGUUUGUAGGUGGCUCGCUAAGUCAGACGUGAAAUCCCUCAGCUUAACUGGGGAACUGCGUCUGAGACUGGCGAGCUUGAGUGCAGGAGAGGAACGCGGAAUUCCAGGUGUAGCGGUGAAAUGCGUAGAUAUCUGGAGGAACACCGGUGGCGAAGGCGGCGUUCUGGACUGCAACUGACACUCAGGGACGAAAGCUAGGGGAGCGAAUGGG
rnacentral:rRNA from 1 species